GACAGCAGCAGCCACGGGAAUACGAAGGGUGCAAGCGUUAAUCGGAAUUACUGGGCGUAAAGCGUGCGUAGGCGGUGAGUUAAGUCUGCUGUGAAAUCCCCGGGCUCAACCUGGGAAUGGCAGUGGAUACUGGCUCGCUAGAGUGUGUCAGAGGAUGGUGGAAUUCCCGGUGUAGCGGUGAAAUGCGUAGAGAUCGGGAGGAACAUCAGUGGCGAAGGCGGCCAUCUGGGACAACACUGACACUGAGGCACGAAAGCGUGGGGAGCAAACAGGAUUAGAUACCCCGGUAGUCCCUGUCUCUUAUAC
rnacentral:rRNA from 1 species